rnacentral:rRNA from 1 species
UACGUAGGGGGGCAAGCGUUGUCCGGAUUUAUUGGGCGUAAAGAGCGUGUAGGCGGCCACACAGGUCAGCUGUGAAAACUCGAGGCUCAACCUCGAGACGUCGGUUGAAACCGUAUGGCUAGAGUCCGGAAGAGGAGAGUGGGAAUUCCCGGUGUAGCGGUGAAAUGCGCAGAUAUCGGGAAGAACACCCGUGGCGAAGGCGGCUCUCUGGGGACGGUACUGACGCUGAGACGCGAAAGCGUGGGGGAGCGAACAGG